UACGAAGGGGGCUAGCGUUGCUCGGAAUCACUGGGCGUAAAGGGCGCGUAGGCGGCGUUUUAAGUCGGGGGUGAAAGCCUGUGGCUCAACCACAGAAUGGCCUUCGAUACUGGGACGCUUGAGUCUGGUAGAGGUUGGUGGAACUGCGAGUGUAGGGGUGAAAUUCGUAGAUAUUCGCAAGAACACCGGUGGCGAAGGCGGCCAACUGGACCAGCACUGACGCUGAGGCGCGAAAGCGUGGGGAGCAAACAGG
rnacentral:rRNA from 1 species